rnacentral:rRNA from 1 species
CCUACGGGUGGCAGCAGUGAGGAAUAUUGGUCAAUGGGCUAAGGCCUGAACCAGCCAAGUCGCGUGAGGGAAGACGGUCCUAUGGAUUGUAAACCUCUUUUGUCGGGGAGCAACGAGGCCACGUGUGGCCGAAGUGAGAGUACCCGAAGAAAAAGCAUCGGCUAACUCCGUGCCAGCAGCCGCGGUAAUACGGAGGAUGCGAGCGUUAAUCGGAAUUACUGGGCGUAAAGCGCUCGUAGGCGGUAUGUCAAGUCAAGGGUGAAAUCCCCGCGCUCAACGUGGGAACUGCCUUUGAAACUGGCAAACUGGAGUGUGUGAGAGGAUAGUGGAAUUCCAGGUGUAGGAGUGAAAUCCGUAGAUAUCUGGAGGAACAUCAGUGGCGAAGGCGACUAUCUGGCACAUAACUGACGCUGAGGAGCGAAAGCGUGGGUAGCAAACAGGAUUAGAUACCCUUGUAGUC